GAUGAACGCUGGCGGCGCGCCUAAUACAUGCAAGUCGAGCGAACGGACGAGAAGCUUGCUUCUCUGAUGUUAGCGGCGGACGGGUGAGUAACACGUGGAUAACCUACCUAUAAGACUGGGAUAACUUCGGGAAACCGUAGCUAAUACCGGAUAAUAUUUUGAACCGCAUGGUUCAAAAGUGAAAGACGGUCUUGCUGUCACUUAUAGAUGGAUCCGCGCUGCAUUAGCUAGUUGGUAAGGUAACGGCUUACCAAGGCAACGAUGCAUAGCCGACCUGAGAGGGUGAUCGGCCACACUGGAACUGAGACACGGUCCAGACUCCUACGGGAGGCAGCAGUAGGGAAUCUUCCGCAAUGGGCGAAAGCCUGACGGAGCAACGCCGCGUGAGUGAUGAAGGUCUUCGGAUCGUAAAACUCUGUUAUUAGGGAAGAACAUAUGUGUAAGCAACUGUGCACAUCUUGACGGUACCUAAUCAGAAAGCCACGGCUAACUACGUG
rnacentral:rRNA from 1 species